rnacentral:lncRNA from 1 species
UCAAUUGAGGUUGUUUUACAAGACUUGAUCUUUUGAUCAACUUUGAGAAGGUUUUAUUUUUUGCAUUAGUUUGAGAAGAAUUGAACCUCUAGUGAGCCUAGAACUCAAGCCACUAAUAUUUUUGGUAGCUUAUAAUUGAAGCAACAAGGCAUUAAUUUUAAAGGAGAAAGAGAUUUUCAAAUUUUAGUGCUACAAGCAAUAAUUUUUGGACCUUGCAGCUUCUAAUCUGAUCAGACUAGCAAUGGAGUCUAUCAGCAGCGAUAAGACCUAGCAACAAUAGUAGUAAGACCCAGCAGCAGCAGUAGGACUUGGUAGUGGGAGCGGGGCCAACUUAGUCCAAGGAACUCUAGCAAGACCUAAGAGCUCCAAAUUUGAUUUUUUUCAAGUUUUUAGACAUAGUUUCACGUAGAAAGCUC